rnacentral:tRNA from 1 species
UUGAGAGAGACAUAGUGGUUAUGAUAUUGGCUUGAAACCAAUUCCAGAGGGUUCGACUCCNNNCUUUCUUAU